GACGAACGCUGGCGGCGUGCCUAAUACAUGCAAGUCGAGCGAACGGACGAGAAGCUUGCUUCUCUGAUGUUAGCGGCGGACGGGUGAGUAACACGUGGAUAACCUACCUAUAAGACUGGGAUAACUUCGGGAAACCGGAGCUAAUACCGGAUAAUAUUUUGAACCGCAUGGUUCAAAAGUGAAAGACGGUCUUGCUGUCACUUAUAGAUGGAUCCGCGCUGCAUUAGCUAGUUGGUAAGGUAACGGCUUACCAAGGCAACGAUGCAUAGCCGACCUGAGAGGGUGAUCGGCCACACUGGAACUGAGACACGGUCCAGACUCCUACGGGAGGCAGCAGUAGGGAAUCUUCCGCAAUGGGCGAAAGCCUGACGGAGCAACGCCGCGUGAGUGAUGAAGGUCUUCGGAUCGUAAAACUCUGUUAUUAGGGAAGAACAUAUGUGUAAGUAACUGUGCACAUCUUGACGGUACCUAAUUAGAAAGCCACGGCUAACUACGUG
rnacentral:rRNA from 1 species